AAACUAAUUUAAUUUGACGGCAUUUUAUUUAAUUAGAGGGUUUUGUCCUUUAAUCGAUAAACCGCGUUAAAUUUCACUUUAAUCACUAACCUAUAUACCUCCAUCUAAAGAAUUAAUUUAAAAAUAUUUCUCUCAAAAAUAAAUAAAAAAUUAGGUCAAGGUGUAAUUCAUAUUAAAGAAUUAGAUGAAUCACACUAAACAUAAUUUAAAGAUCAUUAAUAAAUAUAUUAAUUUAAAUAAGAAUUUAUAAGUAAUACUUUAAUAAUAUUAUAAUAUGAUAAAAAUAAUAAAUGUGUACACAUCGCCC
rnacentral:rRNA from 1 species